AGGGUUUGAUUAUGGCUCAGGACGAACGCUGGCGGCGUGCCUAACACAUGCAAGUCGAACGGAGAUGUUUAUUUCGGUAGACAUCUUAGUGGCGCACGGGUGAGUAACGCGUGAAUAACCUGACCCGAAGAGGGGGAUAACACCUGGAAACAAGUGCUAAUACCGCAUAAGACCACGGACCGGCAUCGGUCAGAGGUCAAAGGAGGAAUCCGCUUUGGGAGGGGUUCGCGUCCCAUUAGGUAGUUGGUGAGGUAACGGCCCACCAAGCCGACGAUGGGUAGCCGAGCUGAGAGGCUGAUCGGCCACACUGGAACUGAGACACGGUCCAG
rnacentral:rRNA from 1 species